UCUAUCCUUUGGUAUGUGAUGCUGAGGCUGGAGUCUCCCUUAGCUUUUUCCUUCUGGUUAGCAUCUGACAGUGGGAGGCACUGAGAGUCAGUGGAGACAGAAUGGAAGGAAGAAAUAAGUCACAAAGCAUCCCUUCAUGUUUUCCUGGCCCAUCCGCUUUUCUCCGGCAACAAUAGACAGUUGGUUCCAGCUCUCAGCACACCAGCACCUGCCUCAGCUGAGUCCUUCCUCAAUAACCCAUCCACAAAGUACCCACUUGGAGAACAUAUGGAUUAAUAAACAAAUUGAAAAGUGAAUGGAUGCACUGACCUAACAGUUGCAGACAUAAAUGGAAGCAGCAUGAGGAAGGGCCAAGCAAUGGAACAAAGAAUCAGGACCCGCCAGCUUUAAAGAACCAUCAGAUGCUCAAAUGGCCAGGAGACAUCAAUAUUUUUUUGGCGCCCCAACAUGAAGCGGAUGUGUUAAAGCCACAUUGAAUGUGACAGAGAAGACACCAGAAUAGCUACCAACCCUGACUUUAAAACUCAGCAAUUAUCUUGAGUCCAAUACUCUCUAAGACCCGGAUGGUAAAAUUAAGGCAGAAGAAACCUGAC